GCACUGCUGAGCAGUCCCACACUAGGACUAAACGCUCGUCCAGUGC
rfam:Schistosoma haematobium scaffold1059_17, whole genome shotgun sequence.